CGAAGGAUCCAAGCGUUAUCCGGAUUUAUUGGGUUUAAAGGGUGCGUAGGCGGGCUAUUAAGUCAGUGGUGAAAGCCCCAAGCUUAACUUGGGAACUGCCAUUGAUACUGAUGGUCUUGAGUACACUUGAGGUGGGCGGAAUGUGUCAUGUAGCGGUGAAAUGCUUAGAUAUGACACAGAACACCGAUUGCGAAGGCAGCUCACUAAAUUGUAACUGACGCUGAGGCACGAAAGCGUGGGGAUCAAACGGGAUUAGAUACCCUGGUAGUCCACGCCCUAAACGAUGAUUACUCGAUGUGUGCAAUACACCGUACGCGUCUGAGCGAAAGCAUUAAGUAAUCCACCUGGGGAGUACGACCGCAAGGUUG
rnacentral:rRNA from 1 species